UACGUAGGGGGCAAGCGUUGUCCGGAUUUAUUGGGCGUAAAGAGCGUGUAGGCGGCCAGGUAGGUCCGCUGUGAAAACUCGAGGCUCAACCUCGAGAUGUCGGCGGAAACCAUCUGGCUAGAGUCCGGAAGAGGAGAGUGGAAUUCCUGGUGUAGCGGUGAAAUGCGUAGAUAUUGGGAGGAACACCAGUGGCGAAGGCGGUCCCCUGGGCCGGAACUGACGCUGAGGCGCGAAAGCGUGGGGAGCAAACAGG
rnacentral:rRNA from 1 species